GUCUACAGCCAUACCACCCUGAACGCGCCCGAUCUCGUCUGAUCUCGGAAGCUAAGCAGGGUCGGGCCUGGUUAGUACUUGGAUGGAAGACUGUAGGUU
rnacentral:rRNA from 1 species